rnacentral:lncRNA from 1 species
CCGCCAUUUGUGUUGUAUCCGAGUUAACGUGAGCUGUUAUAUGGCUUUAGCGUCUUUGCAGAGUAAAUACAGCGUUACGUUAGUGUUGUAUUAAGGGCUGUAAUAGUAAAAUCACACGAUCGAAAGGGUAAAAAAUGAUCACGAUGACAGAUAUUUUAAAUUUCCCGCUCGGAAGAAAGGAUAUUGACCGACUGUAGCGGUAACAACAGACGCAUCGAAUGUCCUAGCCUGCUGCAUUGAGACGCAGAAUAUAUCUUCAUUUCUCCGUUUAUGCUCUCAACAUUUUCACAAAGGUAAGUACAACUGACCCAGACUGAGCACCAUCUCUACAUCUGGGCCACACAGAAACUACACAGACAGACACUGCACACUCUGCAAGAAAGACUAAGAGAAGAGAAAGAAAACCAACACUGCAGUCAGCUGAAGAUGUGGACGAACAACAUGCUGGGAAGGAGACAUUUGAGGUUGAAAUUAGUGAGAGACACUGAUGAGGAGACACAACACUAAGGAAGUAGCUGAGACAAACUGAAAGUAAAUUGUGUAUGACAAGUGUAGAAGUAAACCGCCUGUUGGAGGAGAACUGACAGCUGCUGUGUGAACUUGAAGAAUAUAGGAUGUCUGGUGGAUUUUGUAGCAAGAAUGAUGCUAAAGUAUCAAACAGAAAAAAAAAACAGAAAAUCUUAAUAACAAGCACUGAGCCAUAAACAUGAUACUCCCUUAUGAGGUGAAGAUGUCGCAUUACAGCAUAGGAUUGU